ACCCAGACGCCGACGCACAGCCAAGUGCAGAGGAACCUGGAGAGGCGGUCCCAGGAUCAAGUGAAUCAGAAAGUGAGCGAGCUGGUUCAGUUCCUGCUUGUUAAAGACCAGAAGAAGAUCCCCAUCAAGAGGACAGAUAUCCUGAAGAAAAUCAUCC